GUGUUGUAUGAAAGGAGAGAAGGUUAGCACUCCCCUUGACAAGGAUGGAAGAGGCCCUUGGGCCUUACAACACGCAUACGGUUAAGGCAUUGCCACCUACUUUGUGGCAUCUAACCACUGUUUUUU
ensembl:snRNA